CCAUAAUUUCAAACUAGAAGAGACGAAAAUAAUAGACAGAACAUUCAAAACAAACAACUUAAAUAUUCUUGAGAGCUGCCACAUAUACAACACAAACCACACUGUAAAUAAACGCACUGACACUGAUAAUCUCCAUACAGCUUAUGCAGGACUGUUACACACAUUGAAAAAUGAGAGAAAUAUGAGACGAAACUGAUGAUCAAAACAAACUUGAAGAAAUACUCAAAAAUUGUAAACACAAACACUAAUGUAAAACACCCUGACACACACAAUGACGUUGAAAUGAAAUAUGAAAAGCAAUGGUGGAAGACAGCAAAACAGUGUGCCCGAAUUCGACCAGCGCAGAAUAUUGCGGAUUAUCCGACGCACAAACCGUCAAACUUAGUCGGACCAAGUCGAAAAACAGACCAUUUUUUCAUAUGACAUUUUCACGUUAUACAAAACCAAUCUUGACGAAAAAACAGUAGCAAAUCGGUAACUAGAAGUCAAAUUAUACCAAUGUAACAUUAUUUUAUAAUACGAUAAUUAAACUAUUUUAGAACCCUUGAAAAAGAUCCCAAACGGAUCGAAACGUCGGGAAAGUUUUAAACAA